ACGCACGCUGGCGGCGUGCUUAACACAUGCCAGUCGCACGGAAAGGCCCUGCUUUUGUGGGGUGCUCGAGUGGCGAACGGGUGAGUAACACGUGAGUAACCUGCCCUUGACUUUGGGAUAACUUCAGGAAACUGGGGCUAAUACCGGAUAGGAGCUCCUGCUGCAUGGUGGGGGUUGGAAAGUUUCGGCGGUUGGGGAUGGACUCGCGGCUUAUCAGCUUGUUGGUGGGGUAGUGGCUUACCAAGGCUUUGACGGGUAGCCGGCCUGAGAGGGUGACCGGCCACAUUGGGACUGAGAUACGGCCCAGACUCCUACGGGAGGCAGCAGUGGGGAAUAUUGCACAAUGGGCGGAAGCCUGAUGCAGCAACGCCGCGUGCGGGACGACGGCCUUCGGGUUGUAAACCGCUUUCGCCUGUGACGAAGCGUGAGUGACGGUAAUGGGUAAAGAAGCACCGGCUAACUACGUG
rnacentral:rRNA from 1 species